AUUCCAGCUCCAGUAGCGUAUAUUAAAGUUGUUGCAGUUAAAAAGCUCGUAGUUGGAUUUCUGGUUUCACAGAACUGGCCUACUUCCUCAAGGUCGUGUGCGCCGUGUUUUGUGUACCAUCCUUCUAGAAAUUGUGUUCCAUCCCUUCACUGGGAUAGAUCCGAGAUCUAGAUCUUUUACUUUGAAGAAAUUAGAGUGUUCAAAGCAGGCUCGCGCUGUGAAUACAUUAGCAUGGAAUAAUAAUUUAGGACUUGGUAUCCUAUUUUGUUGGUUUUCAGGAUCUAAGUAAUGAUUGAUAGGGAUAGUUGGGGGUGCUAGUAUUGAGCGGCCAGAGGUGAAAUUCUUGGAUUCGCUCAAGACUAACUUAUGCGAAAGCAUACACCAAGGAUGUCUUCAUUA
rnacentral:rRNA from 1 species